rnacentral:rRNA from 1 species
GGGGAAUAUUGCGCAAUGGGGGGAACCCUGACGCAGCCAUGCCGCGUGAAUGAAGAAGGCCUUCGGGUUGUAAAGUUCUUUCGGUAUUGAGGAAGGUUGAUGUGUUAAUAGUACAUCAAAUUGACGUUAAAUACAGAAGAAGCACCGGCUAACUCCGUGCCAGCAGCCGCGGUAAUACGGAGGGUGCGAGCGUUAAUCGGAAUAACUGGGCGUAAAGGGCACGCAGGCGGUUAUUUAAGUGAGGUGUGAAAGCCCCGGGCUUAACCUGGGAAUUGCAUUUCAGACUGGGUAACUAGGGUACUUUAGGGAGGGGUAGAAUUCCACGUGUAGCGGUGAAAUGCGUAGAGAUGUGGAGGAAUACCGAAGGCGAAGGCAGCCCCUUGGGAAUGUACUGACGCUCAUGUGCGAAAGCGUGGGGAGCAAACAGGAUUAGAUACCCUGGUAGUCCACGCUGUAAACGCUGUCGAUUUGGGGAUUGAGCUUUAAGCUUGGUGCCCGUAGCUAACGUGAUAAAUCGACCGCCUGGGGAGUACGGCCGCAAGGUUA